rnacentral:rRNA from 1 species
UUGAACGCUGGCGGCAUGCCUUACACAUGCAAGUCGAACGGCAGCACGGGUGCUUGCACCUGGUGGCGAGUGGCGAACGGGUGAGUAAUACAUCGGAACAUGUCCUGUAGUGGGGGAUAGCCCGGCGAAAGCCGGAUUAAUACCGCAUACGAUCUACGGAUGAAAGCGGGGGACCUUCGGGCCUCGCGCUAUAGGGUUGGCCGAUAGCUGAUUAGCUAGUUGGUGGGGUAAAGGCCUACCAAGGCGACGAUCAGUAGCUGGUCUGAGAGGACGACCAGCCACACUGGGACUGAGACACGGCCCAGACUCCUACGGGAGGCAGCAGUGGGGAAUUUUGGACAAUGGGCGAAAGCCUGAUCCAGCAAUGCCGCGUGUGUGAAGAAGGCCUUCGGGUUGUAAAGCACUUUUGUCCGGAAAGAAAUCCUUGGCUCUAAUACAGUCGGGGGAUGACGGUACCGGAAGAAUAAGCACCGGCUAACUACGU